UACGGGGGGAGCAAGCGUUGUUCGGAUUUACUGGGCGUAAAGGGCGCGUAGGCGGCCAUCGCAAGUCAGUUGUGAAAUCUCCGGGCUUAACCCGGAAAGGUCAACUGAUACUGCGAGGCUAGAGUGCAGUAGGGGCAACUGGAAUUCUCGGUGUAGCGGUGAAAUGCGUAGAUAUCGAGAGGAACACCAGUGGCGAAGGCGGCUUCCUGGCCUGUUCUUGACGCUGAGGCGCGAAAGCUAGGGGAGCAAACGGG
rnacentral:rRNA from 1 species